UGACACAAAAACAGAAAACCAAAUCAAACACUGCAUGUUUUGACUCAUAGUUUAAUGCUGCACUCUGAGCAAGAAUGCUUUUCCUUAAUUGAUGGGCACUUCGUCAGCUGAAUCACAGUAGGGGAUGAGGAAUGAUAACCAACAGAAGACCCAGUGGGAAGAACAAGCUCCCUCAACCGGGAGUGGUGCUCCUGAAAGUCUCUGCAGAAGAAUCCAGAACCAGUAUCCCUCAUUCAUUCAACAUCUAAUUACUGAGAAUCUUGGAUUGGUGGUGCUUGGGCAAGGAAACAGGAGAGGCUUUGCUCAUGCUUAAGGAAAAAGGGCUGGAGAUGAACUCUGAGCACAAAGUCAGAGCAAGAGGGAACAGGAGCUGCAUCUUUACCUCUUGGGAACAACCAUGGGACAAUGAGAAGGCAAGACUAUUGGUGAUUCUGCCACAGUAGAGAGACAAGCUUUGACAACUCAAAAUAGUAAGUACAUCAGCCUCAAGCAAGGUUUCUAAAAUGCUUUUCCGGUCCCAGAGGGACCAAUUUGGCACUCAGGGCACACAUUUGCCAUGUGCCACCUCAAGAUUUGGCAUCAUAAUCAAUGAAGAGGAGCUUAAUGCUGAGUUAAAGUACUCCCUUUGGUAUAAAUUAUCUGCCAUGUAAAGCAGAAAGUCCUCCUCACUUUGUUAGUUGGAUGUGUAAAUACCCACCGGCCCUGUUCAGAUUUGAUCCACCCUAGAGUGAAUGGAUUAAGAUUUAAGAUGCAAGUGUCUUUGGUUUUUUUCCCUCCCUAGUGAUCUGGCUGGAUGAUUUCUCCCUUCUCUUUGGCAUUGCAAGGAAUUUCUGAAUACAUUAGAUGGCAAAAUGGAAAGAAAGAACAGGGAAGAACAUGGAAGGAAGAGAAGCCUGAUUAAUCCAUAACCUUUAAGUAAGGAAAAGGACAAUGAGAGAAACAGAGGGGAAGUCAUAGAUUUGAAGCUCUUGGAGGGAUUUGGCAUGCCACUGCUGGCUCAAAGAUGGAGGCGGCCACAUGCCAAGGAGUGCGGGCAGCCAUCAGGAGCUGUGAGUAGCCCCAGCUGACAGCCAGCAAGGAAAUGGCGACUUCAGACCUAUUGCUGCAGUCAGCCAGCAACCUCAAUGAGCGUGGAAACAGAUUCUUCCUUGGAGCUUUCAGGUAAGAGCUGAGCUGGCCAACAUCUUGUCUUAGACCUUUUGAGACCUUACGCAGAGAACCCAGCUGAGCCCACCUGGACUUCUGACCCACACAACUGUGAAGUAAACGAGGAUGUUGUUUUAAGCUGCUAAAUUGGUGGCAGUUUGUUAGAGCAACAACGGAAAACAGAUACAAUGAUAUAGAAAGAGAUUUGUCUUAUAUAAUAAACAUUAAUUUUAGCCAGCCUGCUGGACUUGAGAGAGAGUUCACAGGUAACAACUGCUGACCGAAGCCCAGGGCAGCCUGAAUGCUAUGGUUGCCAGGGACUCGUACUCCUGUUCUCUCUGCUUUGGUGGGCUGAGUGGUAUGCUUCCAAACCUGCUGGUGCUAAUUCUAUUGCUUAUUAUAAUUAUCCAUUUGUAUGUAUUUUGGUACUAUGUCAAUAGGGGAUGUAAGACAGUGAACAUGAAGAGAGCUGAUGUUUCUACCAAGAGCUGAACACUUUGGAAAUACUGGAUGAAUAGUAAUCACUGAAAAAUGCCAUGGAAUUAGGUGGGUGAGGCAACUAAAGAGCAGAGAAGAAUUGUAAAGAUUUAGAAGGUUUCUGGAGUCACAUUACUCUGCCAGUCUGUCUCAGUUCUUCCUCUGUGUUAAAGGCUUCAAAACUAGACUUUACACGUGGUGCAUGGGGAAGAUGGCUUACUGAAGCUGCAGCCCCCAGCAGUGCUGUGCCCAGAGAAAAGGUGCUGGCCUGAAAGCAGAAGAGUGGUGAAUGAAGGCACAGGACUUGCAUUAAAUUAAAAUAAGAUAUUUCAGGGGUUGGUUUUUAUCCUAUUUGAGGAUUCCUUGCAUUGACUGCAUUUUUUUACCGAUCUAGUGCAUCCAAUUCUAUCAAAUAAGAGUGCUUCUGUUACAAUAUUAGAUAUGUGUAUGUACUCGCACACACACAUGCAUGCUGGGGUAAGCAGGCUACAGGUCUAAUCAUGAAAUAUGAACAAUUUUUGUAACAAAUGCAUAUUGCUAGAAAAAAAUUGAGAAUAUCAGUAGUAGUUAUAUUUGAGUAAGAAGCUUAUGUGUAUUUUCUAUAAUGCGUAUAUAUUGUUUUUGAAAUAAGGCAACAAAAGAAAAUCAUCAUCAU